GACGAACGCUGGCGGCGUGCUUAACACAUGCAAGUCGAGCGGUAAGGCCCUUUCGGGGGUACACGAGCGGCGAACGGGUGAGUAACACGUGGGUGACCUGCCCUCAGCUCUGGGAUAAGCCUGGGAAACCGGGUCUAAUACUGGAUAUGACUCCAUGACGCAUGUUGUGGGGUGGAAAGCCUUGUGCGGCUGAGGAUGGGCCCGCGGCCUAUCAGCUUGUUGGUGGGGNGAUGGCCUACCGAGGCGACGACGGGUAGCCGGCCUGAGAGGGCGACCGGCCACACUGGGACUGAGACACGGCCCAGACUCCUACGGGAGGCAGCAGUGGGGAAUCUUGCGCAAUGGGCGAAAGCCUGACGCAGCGACGCCGCGUGAGGGAUGACGGCCU
rnacentral:rRNA from 1 species